UACGAAGGGGGCUAGCGUUGCUCGGAAUGACUGGGCGUAAAGGGCGCGUAGGCGGAUGGUACAGUCAGAUGUGAAAUUCCUGGGCUUAACCUGGGGGCUGCAUUUGAUACGUAUUGUCUAGAGUGAGGAAGAGGGUCGUGGAAUUCCCAGUGUAGAGGUGAAAUCGUAGAUAUUGGGAAGAACACCGGUGGCGAAGGCGGCGACCUGGUCCUUGACUGACGCUGAGGCGCGAAAGCGUGGGGAGCAAACAGG
rnacentral:rRNA from 1 species